rnacentral:rRNA from 1 species
GCUGGGUUCAGAACGUCGUGAGACAGUUCGGUCUGUAUCCGUCGUGGGCGUGGGAGUGUUGAGGGACGUCGUCUCUAGUACGAGAGGACCGAGACGAAGCGACCGCUCGUGUACGGGCUAUCCUGCCUAAGGGUAUCGCCCGGUAGCGAUGUCGCGCGGAGAUAACCGCUGAAAGCAUCUAAGUGGGAAACUCUUCCCAAGAUGAACACUCCUGGACCUUAAGGUCCCUGAAGGGCCCUGGGAGACUACCAGGUUGAUAGGCCGCAGAUGUACGGCGCGCAAGCGCUUUAGUCGAGCGGUACUAAUCGCCCGUGAAGUUUGAUCUC